rnacentral:rRNA from 1 species
GAUGAACGCUGGCGGCGUGCCUAAUACAUGCAAGUCGAACGCUUUGUGGUUCAACUGAUUUGAAGAGCUUGCUCAGAUAUGACGAUGGACAUUGCAAAGAGUGGCGAACGGGUGAGUAACACGUGGGAAACCUACCUCUUAGCAGGGGAUAACAUUUGGAAACAGAUGCUAAUACCGUAUAACAAUGACAACCGCAUGGUUGUUAUUUAAAAGAUGGUUCUGCUAUCACUAAGAGAUGGUCCCGCGGUGCAUUAGCUAGUUGGUAAGGUAAUGGCUUACCAAGGCGAUGAUGCAUAGCCGAGUUGAGAGACUGAUCGGCCACAAUGGGACUGAGACACGGCCCAUACUCCUACGGGAGGCAGCAGUAGGGAAUCUUCCACAAUGGGCGAAAGCCUGAUGGAGCAACGCCGCGUGUGUGAUGAAGGGUUUCGGCUCGUAAAACACUGUUGUAAGAGAAGAAUGACAUUGAGAGUAACUGUUCAAUGUGUGACGGUAUCUUACCAGAAAGGAACGGCUAAAUACGUGCCAGCAGCCGCGGUAAUACGUAUGUUCCAAGCGUUAUCCGGAUUUAUUGGGCGUAAAGCGAGCGCAGACGGUUAUUUAAGUCUGAAGUGAAAGCCCUCAGCUCAACUGAGGAAUUGCUUUGGAAACUGGAUGACUUGAGUGCAGUAGAGGAAAGUGGAACUCCAUGUGUAGCGGUGAAAUGCGUAGAUAUAUGGAAGAACACCAGUGGCGAAGGCGGCUUUCUGGACUGUAACUGACGUUGAGGCUCGAAAGUGUGGGUAGCAAACAGGAAUAGAUACCCUGGUAGUCCACACCGUAAACGAUGAGUGCUAGGUGUUUGAGGGUUUCCGCCCUUAAGUGCCGCAGCUAACGCAUUAAGCACUCCGCCUGGGGAGUACGACCGCAAGGUUGAAACUCAAAGGAAUUGACGGGGACCCGCACAAGCGGUGGAGCAUGUGGUUUAAUUCGAAGCAACGCGAAGAACCUUACCAGGUCUUGACAUCCCUUGACAACUCCAGAGAUGGAGUGUUCCCUUCGGGGACAAGGUGACAGGUGGUGCAUGGUUGUCGUCAGCUCGUGUCGUGAGAUGUUGGGUUAAGUCCCGCAACGAGCGCAACCCUUAUUACUAGUUGCCAGCAUUCAGUUGGGCACUCUAGUGAGACUGCCGGUGACAAACCGGAGGAAGGUGGGGAUGACGUCAAAUCAUCAUGCCCCUUAUGACCUGGGCUACACACGUGCUACAAUGGCGUAUACAACGAGUUGCCAACCCGCGAGGGUGAACUAAUCUCUUAAAGUACGUCUCAGUUCGGAUUGUAGGCUGCAACUCGCCUACAUGAAGUCGGAAUCGCUAGUAAUCGCGGAUCAGCACGCCGCGGUGAAUACGUUCCCGGGUCUUGUACACACCGCCCGUCACACCAUGAGAGUUUGUAACACCCAAAGCCGGUGGGGUAACCUUCGGGAGCCAGCCGUCUAAGGUGGGACAGAUGAUUAGGGUG